rnacentral:rRNA from 1 species
UACGGAGGGAGCUAGCGUUGUUCGGAAUUACUGGGCGUAAAGCGCGCGUAGGCGGCUUUGUAAGUUAGAGGUGAAAGCCCGGGGCUCAACCCCGGAACUGCCUUUAAAACUGCAUCGCUUGAAUCCAGGAGAGGUGAGUGGAAUUCCGAGUGUAGAGGUGAAAUUCGUAGAUAUUCGGAAGAACACCAGUGGCGAAGGCGGCUCACUGGACUGGUAUUGACGCUGAGGUGGCGAAAGCGGUGGGGAGCAAACAGG